UGAUCUGCCUGCCUCAGCCUCCCAAAGUGCUGGGAUUACAGGUGUUAGCCACCAUGCCCAGCCUGUUACUGCUCCUUUGUGUUGUUGUGGGAUUAAAAGAUCAAUGGGAACAGUAGCUGUGAUCUUGGUUUGUGAUAAGAACUUUUUAGCUACCACUUUCCACUCUGAGUCACUUUAUCUCAGCAGAGAAAGUGGACAAUGAAGAUGAAAUAUCUGGACAUGGCUGCAAUCAUGAACUCGUAGCUUUAGAAGAUUAUUUCUCCUUUUUCUUCUCUCCCAGCCAGCAAGGAGGGUAGAACAGGGAGGGUAUCCAAGCUGCAGGAAGGCAGGCUACCAAAUAUUUUUGGGGUGGAGAGUCACUAUCCCAGGAGACGAGAGAAAGGCCUGGGAGGAAGGAAAGAACUGAGGAGUAUUUUCUCCCUCAUCCAGGAGGCGCCUGGAGACCCCUUUCUGAAUCCAGCAUCCUCUGGUUGGUGUCUUUGCAGGGAUGUGCAGGGGCCCUGUGGAGUUCCUGCAGAAUUCUGCAGCUGUUGGGGCCUCGGAGGAGAUGGGCAGUGUGUCUCCCAGUCCUUGUUAGUCCCACAAAUAGCCCAUUGAGGGGAGCAGGAGAAGGGAGAGGCUUCCAGGGCUGCCCCUGGGGUCCCUCAAUGGGGGCACUGUUCAGGCUUGGGUGGAGGCCAGCCCUGACACCAUGCUGGUUGUUAAGGCCUCAUUCUUCCCAAGGAGGCGGCUGCAAAGGCAGCAGAGCAGCUGAGGCUCCAGAAAAGAUUCUAGACUUAAGAAAGUGAUGAAGAAAAUGUUGAAAAUGCAAUGAACUUGGAAGUGUGUUGUAGCUGUAGUCCUUACAUUGUGAAUAGCAUUGAAAAUUGAUAAGCUCUUUCAGAUUUUGAGAACAAUUAUUUGACUUGGCAAAACUGUCAUAUCACUGAAAAGUGAGUCAAGCUCCACAGAUAGAUUGGCCUCUUUCCCAACCUGGGUCUUGAGCAGAGUGGUUCAUGAAGGGUUUGUUCAGAAUCCUGAUUCCAGGUAUAAUCUGCGUGAACCUCAUGGAGAAAGAGCCCCUUCUCGGAAGGUUCUAUGCUUGAAGAAGUUUAAGAAUACUUAUGCUAUCCUGAUCUGAGUCCUGAGGCAGGGCUACUGAACUGAGCCAUCCACACAUGCUAAUUAGCAACUUCUCGCACAGCUCUAAUUUGUCCAGACAUAAGAAAGCUACCAACACAAUAUUCACUUGAAAAUGACAACUUUGCAAUAGUAGCUCUACCUACUCCUAACAAGCAGAAGAAUUCUUGCACAGACAUUCUCAUAUGCACUUAAACAUUGGCUGCUAAGGGAUUCUGGUCUGUUCAACUCUUGGUUUUCCUUAGAUAUUUUAAAAUAUCUCCCCUCCCUACACCUUAGAUUCCCAUUCAUAGAAAGGACACAAUCAUUAAAAUUAGGAUCUGUGAAAUCAUUUCAUAUCUGAAGUGACUACUAUAUUCCAACAUGAUUGGAGAAGUUAUUUUUUCUGGGUUUUUCAACACAGAGGACAUUUAUGUUCUGGGAGUUUAAUAUUUCAUUCAGAUCUUAAGAAUGGAAAACACUACAAUUGUUGUACCUUUCUUUCCUUACUUUGGACAGGAUUUAAAUUAGGGACCCUUGAUUUUGAUAGAGAACAGUUGUUGUUUCAUUAAAAAAGAAAAAAUAAUGUACAAGCCUACUUAAUGUAUCAGAGAAGUUGAUGGAACUUUUAAACAGUCUGAGAAACAAUUACAGUUUACAUAUUAUAGAACUGUAGAUUUGGAAGGGAAUUCAUUAGCUCACUCUUUGGGUGCGGCCAAACUUACUCAUGUCUGGCUCCUUUCCUAAGUUUCUUCUCAAAAUGGAAUGUACAUUUGGAGAAAAGAGACAAAACAAGAGCAUGUAAAAACAUAGCAGAUGCUAAAUUUGUAUAUUAUAUUUAUAUAUAUGUUAUAUAUUAU